GACGAACGCUGGCGGCGUGCUUAACACAUGCAAGUCGAACGAAAAGAGGGAAAGAGCUUGCUCUUUCCGGAAUUGAGUUGCAAACGGGUGAGUAACACGUAAACAAACUGCCUUCAGGAUGGGGACAACAGACGGAAACGACUGCUAAUACCGAAUAAGUUCCAAGGGCCGCAUGGCCCAUGGAAGAAAAGGUGGCCUCUAACUGUAAGCUAACGCCUGAAGCGGGGUUUGCGUCUGAUUAGCUGGUUGGAGGGGUAACGGCCCACCAAGGCGACGAUCAGUAGCCGGUCUGAGAGGAUGAACGGCCACACUGGAAUUGAGACACGGUCCAGACUCCUACGGGAGGCAGCAGUGGGGAAUCUUCCGCAAUGGGCGAAAGCCUGACGGAGCAACGCCGCGUGAGUGAUGACGGCCUUCGGGUUGUAAAACUCUGUGAUCCGGGACGAAAAGGCAGAGUGCGAAGAACAAACUGCAUUGACGGUACCGGAAAAGCAAGCCACGGCUAACUACGUG
rnacentral:rRNA from 1 species